ensembl:lncRNA
GAAGAGGCGACGCGCCGGAAAGCUACAGGAUAGCAGGAGACGAGCUGCCAUCAAAACACAACUUCGGGACCGCGGUCCGCGUCCCCUCUGUCCGCAGAUCGUACCGGGGGAAGGUGAUACGUGCCUGCUGAGGAGGUUUUAAGGGACGGAGGACGUGCAAACACUUGUUUUAUGCGAGCAAAGACAGCAUUUGGCCUUGACAGCUCGGCUAACGUUAGGCCGCGGUAGCGUUAGCCGCGAGCUCUUCUAUUGACGAGCAAAGCAAAACAAGGAAUGAGUGAUGACCUCUGUGGUGGUGUCAGAUGGUGGAGGGAACAUAGUGGAGUAUGUCACCGUGGUGGAGGAGCUCCAGCAGGUAAGCCUCCUUUCAGCGCACACAGCCCGGUGUGGUGACCAAAGGUCCGCACGUGGUUUUGUUGUUUGUACUCAUCCAGGUGAUAAUGCAUAACAACACGUGACAGCAUUCUAAAUAGGAAAUGGGCAACUGCUGAAUGGAAAAUGGCAAACAAAUGAAUGAGAGUACCUUUAAGACAAGUGUUUUUUAGGUGUAAAGUUUAUAUUAUUGGUUAUUUUUAUUUUAUAGAAGCGAUGAUUAUAGUGGCAAAGGAGUUGUUGCUUUAAUUUGUUAUUAUGAAAGACAUUUCGUUUGUGCAAUAUAAUGGUCAUAUAGUCAUGAAACCAUGGGCCUUUUCUCGCUCUUACAAUAUGACUCUUAACAAAUACAGAUUAUGGCUGUUUGUAGUGCAAUAGCAGCUAGAAACACACCAGAGGUUUGUCUUCUGUUCGAUAAAAACAAUCAAGGAACUUGUUGUCCUGCAGUGGCUUUUGUAUAUUGUUCCAUUUUGAUAUUAAACUUCAAUAGCAAGACAUUGACACACAUGUGCAGUAUUUAUUUUGUAUAUACAAUUGGGACAGCAUCAGUGCAAUACAAUAAUCAUCCUAGUACUGCUGUUGAUUAAAAGUGAUAAUCAUUUUCCCAAAUGCCGCGUCCAAAUGAGAGGGUUCAAGCCAUUAGUUUUACUUGUUUGAACAAUUUUUCCCUCAUAUAAUACAGUACAUUCUGGUGAAACAAAUGCCCCUCUGUAAGACGGAUUGAAUUUCUAUAAACAGCCUAGUAGGACUUUAAAAAGCUCCUGGUGGACACGGACGGUGUUACUGAGACACACAGACUUUACCUGACCUCAUUAAAAGAAAUCUCCCUUUUCUCCCAUCUUCCCAUCGGCUAGUGUGAGCAGCCGCACACUGAGGAGGAGGAGGAGGAAGAGGAAGUGGUAGAGCAGGAAAUUGAGGCAGUGAUCGUGGAGGGCGAGGA